GCUGGGCAUGGUAGCGCACGCCUGUAAUCCCAGCUACUUGGGAGGCUGAGACAGGAGAAUCCCUUGAACCCGGGAAGUGGAGGUUGCAGUGAGCCAAGACUGGGCCACUGCACUCCAGCCUGGAAAACAGAGUGAGACUCCGUCUCAAAAAACAAACAAACAAACAAACAAAAAAAUCUUCUUGUUUCCUUUUCUUUUCUUUUGAGACAGUCUCACUCUGUUUCUCAGGUUGGAGUGCAGUGGUGUGAUCUCAGCUCACUGCAAACUCCACCUCCCAGGUUCAAGGGAUUCUCCUGUCUCAG
rnacentral:SRP_RNA from 1 species